AAAUUUAGGUUAACUAUAAACCAAGGACCUUCAAAGCCCUAAAUAGGUAAAUUCCCCUAAUUUCUG
rnacentral:tRNA from 1 species